rnacentral:rRNA from 1 species
AGCGAACGCUGGCGGCAGGCUUAACACAUGCAAGUCGAACGGGCUUCUUCGGAAGUCAGUGGCAGACGGGUGAGUAACACGUGGGAACGUGCCCUUCGGUUCGGAAUAACUCAGGGAAACUUGAGCUAAUACCGGAUACGCCCUUUUGGGGAAAGGUUGACUGCCGAAGGAUCGGCCCGCGUCUGAUUAGCUUGUUGGUGGGGUAACGGCCUACCAAGGCGACGACCAGUAGCUGGUCUGAGAGGAUGAUCAGCCACACUGGGACUGAGACACGGCCCAGACUCCUACGGGAGGCAGCAGUGGGGAAUAUUGGACAAUGGGCGCAAGCCUGAUCCAGCCAUGCCGCGUGAGUGAUGAAGGCCUUAGGGUUGUAAAGCUCUUUUGUCCGGGACGAUAAUGACGGUACCGGAAGAAUAAGCCCCGGCUAACUUCGUG